rnacentral:lncRNA from 1 species
GGGUUUAACAAUUUUUCUCUUAUUUACAGCAAAUCAUCAUAAUGCCAUCUUCCUUUAAUUUUCCAAAGAAUGUUUUCCUCAGUGAUAAAAAAUGUAAUCUGACAUUUGUUUGGAAAGCAUUUAGUGAGGGGUAAUGAUGCUGCUUAAUACAGUAUUGAACUAGAUUUAGAAGGUCUAUGAAAAGAUUGAAUGGGAAUCAGAUUUCAUUAUCAGUCCAGUGAUUCAAGUUCCUCAGCUAACUGCCCUCAAACAAAAUGGAAAUAAUUAGCAGGUGAUUUUUAAGGUAAUCAGAGUGAGAAAACACCCUGGGGAGUUUCAUUUCUAUGUGGAUGUUUGAACUUCAUGAAUGAUAAAAAAUUUC